CACGAGCUUCUAACUUAUUUAAAGGCAAAAUUACUGCAACAAAGAUAGUUUCCAAUCCAUGCAAAAAUUUGUGUAACAUGUUUACAUUUAUUUGUUCACUUAUUGAAAAAAAGAAAAAAGAAAAAAGCUUAACCGACAAUGGGGCACCACUCAGUCUCAUCGGAGCUCAACGUCAUGUCAAGGACCUGACUGCUUGAAGAAUCCUACCCAACACAGCCAAGAUACAUGCCCAAGGGUAAGAUUUCUCGUCUCUUACCUGGUAUGACGCGAGUCUGCCAAUCCGAGACAUCCUUGCAAGUGCAACAAGCUUGAGCCCUCUAAUCAUCCCUAAGUAUAACUGUUAGCUACAUCAUUUACAGUUAUAGUCAUCAGCUUCUAAUGUCAUGCAAACCCUCAGCUUCUAUACGAUAUUGCAUAACAGCCAGUCCACGCUCAUGCAAGCUUCAGCACAGCUAUCGCCAUCAAUGUUGCAGCACUAAAGUAUAUGUCUUUCAAGCUUUUAUCCACACUCCUCAGCAUUUCUUCAUCCUUCAGACCCAACUUGCUUGCAUUCUUGCUCAUAUUGACAAUUGUGUUCCUCAGUCUAUUCACAGCCCAAGAAAGCCAGACCAACCCAAAUCCAAAUCCAGUGCUAAAGAGUUUAGAUGCACAAAAAGGAACCCUCCCACAAGCUACUUUACAGACAACAGAGAAAAUAACAGCAAGGCCAGUCCCAGCAAUGCCGGCAGAGAAUUUGGUCAAGAGCGCAGGGAGCUCAGGGCCAGAUUUCUUUAGUGACAGUAUUGCUGUUUUGCCAUGUUGCUUCUUGUCCAUCAUCAAAGACAGAAGGCUCUCACACGCAUGGAAGUAAUUCCUUUUGUACAGAUCCCUCUCUCUACCACCUUUCCUGCUAUUCCUCUUCUUUGAUGAUGGCUUGAGCUUGAUUUUCUCAGGACUCUUCAAGGGUGUAGCUGUCACAUCUUUAACCUUCAAAGAAGAACAAAGAAUAUUAGCCUGUGCCUCACUUGUAUUAGGCCAGCUAAAAUGGGGGAUAAGCACCGACUGCUUUGUCCACUUAGUUGAGUUUUUUGUCAAGUAAAACUCAGCAACAAUCGAGAGAAUAUCCUUCAUCUCUGACCCAUUGCCAGUGAACAAUAAUCGACCAUCUGGAUGAACUGUAAUUUUAGAACUACGGGCCAUGUCUCCCAUAAAAUCCACUAAAGGCUUUGGGGCAUCACAUUUACCCCUUGGAUAUAUGAGAGAAGCGCAGGGCUGUUGACUCACAUCCAAUGUCAAUGCCUGAAGAUCCAUCAAGUCAGAUAGUAAAGAUAAAUCCAAUCCACCUUUUUCUAUUUCACUUGAUCCAGAUGUGAGAAACUUCAAGAUUUUCUCAUGUUUUGUACAUUGUUCAGCUAUGCCAGAGCUAAAGAGUAACGAGUCCAAGCAAGUGUCUUCCACAUCAAUGAGUAAAGGCCAUCCAGCUGUUGAGUCAAUCUUGGCAAACUGGUUAUGCUCAUAGUAUCCACUCAUGGGUUUCCAUGAUUCAUCGUGCUGACAUGGCCUCAGACUAAGAGAGCUUGGUCUUUUUAUCUCAUGUCUUGCUCCCUGACUUGGAAAAUAGGGCUGGCAGUCCUUGAAGACCCUGGUCUGCUCUUGGCAAAAGACUAGCCCAGGACCUGGAGGGUACCCAUGAGAAGCCAUCAAAGAAAGCUCAACCAUCGUGAAUGGAGUAAAUCCAGCUCAGAAAAUCAAAGUUUCUAAUCCCAAAAUCUAUCCUCCUUUUG
rnacentral:misc_RNA from 1 species